UAGGGAAUCUUCGGCAAUGGACGAAAGUCUGACCGAGCAACGCCGCGUGAGUGAAGAAGGUUUUCGGAUCGUAAAACUCUGUUGUUAGAGAAGAACAAGGACGUUAGUAACUGAACGUCCCCUGACGGUAUCUAACCAGAAAGCCACGGCUAACUACGUGCCAGCAGCCGCGGUAAUACGUAGGUGGCAAGCGUUGUCCGGAUUUAUUGGGCGUAAAGCGAGCGCAGGCGGUUUCUUAAGUCUGAUGUGAAAGCCCCCGGCUCAACCGGGGAGGGUCAUUGGAAGCUGGGAGACUUGAGUGCAGAAGAGGAGAGUAGAAUUCCAUGUGUAGCGGUGAAAUGCGUAGAUAUAUGGAGGAACACCAGGGGCGGAGGCGGCUCUCUGGUCUGUAACUGACGCUGAGGCGCGAAAGCGUGGGGAGCAAACAGG
rnacentral:rRNA from 1 species